rnacentral:tRNA from 1 species
AGGAAUGGGAAUCGAACCCACAGUGGUCUGCUUACCGGGCAGAUGUUAUUUCCACUAGGCUCC